rnacentral:rRNA from 1 species
UACGAAGGGGGCUAGCGUUGUUCGGAAUUACUGGGGGUAAAGGGCGCGUAGGCGGUCUUGUAAGUCAGAUGUGAAAGCCCCGGGCUCAACCCGGGAAUAGCAUUUGAUACUGAGAGGCUUGAGUCCGGGAGAGGAUGGCGGAAUUCCCAGUGUAGAGGUGAAAUUCGUAGAUAUUGGGAAGAACACCGGUGGCGAAGGCGGCCAUCUGGACCGGUACUGACGCUGAGGAGCGAAAGCGUGGGGAGCAAACAGG